UACUUUGCGGUUUCAGCAUUUCCCGCCAUGGAAGCCAUGGAAGUCGAAGCAGAGCGCAACAUCCAGAGAAAGCAAGCUCUCUACCACUCCACGGGCGAGAGGUUCGAGAUACAGAAGGAGAUCUACAGGGGCCAGCAGUACAGCCAGAUAUACUUUGCGAGGCUCCAUUUGAUGAGAACUCUCCUUUACUCCCUCCUCCCCAAUUGGAAGCCCCAUUUGCCUGUCUGUACAGUUUUGGGACUGGAAAAAGGAAAAGAAUGCAUAAUUGUUGGAACACUCUACAAGUACAUGAAGCUCAAACCGACUAUUCUAGAUGAGUACUCCAAGGAGAGAUCUGCAACCCCACUUGUAAAGCCUCAUAAUUUUAUGCACUCAGAUGAUUAUUUGGUUUUGGAAGAUGAAAGUGGAAGAGUUAAACUUCGUGGAAAUGUGCUUCUACCUUCUGUUUAUGUAACAGGAAUUGUGGUUGCAUUGCAUGGGAAGGAAACUGAUGCUGGUGAUUUUUGGGUUGAGGAAGUCCUAGAAGCUGGCUUAGGAGACCAGAUUGAGUUGCCGCUUAAAUCAGGAGAAGACAAAUUUGUCGUUUUUGUAUCGGGUUUGAGCAUUGGAAGCGGUGCUAACCCCCUUCACUCCCAGCUUCUUGUUGAUCACAUAACAGGGUACCUAGGAGAUGAAAAGGAACAGAGUAUUGCAGCUCAAAUAGUACAAGUAAUAAUUGCUGGGAAUUCUGUUGAAAUUUCUCGUGGACUUCUUAAUGGUCAGAAUUUGGCUUCAAAGGAUCAAUCUAAAUUAUCUGAGCCAAUCAAAGAGCUGGACAUCUUGUUGACUCAGAUUGCAGCUGGUGUACCUAUAGAUAUAAUGCCAGGACCUAGUGACCCGGCAAAUUUCUCCUUACCACAGCAGCCUCUGAAUAGAUGUCUAUUCCCUGGGUCAUCAGCUUAUAACACUUUUAGGUCCUGUAAUAACCCUCAUUCUUUCGAGCUUGACAAUGUCAGAUUUCUUGGAACUUCUGGUCAGAAUAUUGAUGAUCUAGAGAGAUAUUCGGAAGCAAAAGAUAAACUAGAAUUUAUGGAGCGGACAUUGAGGUGGAGGCAUCUAGCGCCAACAGCACCAAAUACUCUCGGAUGUUAUCCCUUUUCUGAUAAAGAUCCUUUCUUCAUUGAAAGCUGUCCCCACGUUUAUUUUGUUGGAAAUCAGGAUAAGUACGAGACUCGCCUAAUACAAGGAUCAGAAGGACAGGUGGUAAGACUUAUAUGCAUUCCCAGAUUUUGUGAGACGGGGAUGGCUGUAUUGGUAUAUCCUUCUGUCUUCCCAGCUGCACAAAAAUUAGAUGCAAUUAUGGGCUAUUAGAAGCUUUGGUUUCGGAUAGGAAACUGUGCUUGAGAUCAUUCAAUCGUAAACUGAAAUGCUUCUUACAAUCACUUGAAUUGGAGAAGUGGCCUAUCCUUGUGUGAAGGAGUGCCACCAAGCUAUGCCAUGAGCAUAGCCUUCUGAACCCAUGGCCUGGGAAUUGCAUAAUGUCAAAACAUUUUGAAUUUGAUACAGGAAUGCUCAUGACUACAGCCGGAAGAUACUUCAAAUCGAUUGAACUUGAGAAAUCUUGAAUGCCAUGCUCUCAGUUUUGGGACUCAAUUCAGCUCAUGAGUGAUUGAAGCUUGAAUUGCUCUCUACAGUGGAGUUGCGUUCUUUCCAAGACGGAAGAUCCAUGCUUGGGCCGGAGGUCAGUAGCUGCCUGUACAGGGAGUUGCAGAUGUACACAGUUCUUUUAUUUUGAUUCCAAGAAUGUCCAAAACCUUUGAUGUUUCCAGCAUCCAACCACUGAGAACCCUAAAGAGAUGAAACUGUCAGCCAAAUGUUGGAUUAGUGUUUUUGUACCCUCUUUUUUCGAAUGAAAUUGUAGGAUUCCCUA